GAGUGGCGAACGGGUGAGUAACACGUGGGUAACCUGCCCAGAAGUAGGGGAUAACACCUGGAAACAGAUGCUAAUACCGUAUAACAGAGAAAACCGCAUGGUUUUCUUUUAAAAGAUGGCUCUGCUAUCACUUCUGGAUGGACCCGCGGCGUAUUAGCUAGUUGGUGAGGUAAAGGCUCACCAAGGCAGUGAUACGUAGCCGACCUGAGAGGGUAAUCGGCCACAUUGGGACUGAGACACGGCCCAGACUCCUACGGGAGGCAGCAGUAGGGAAUCUUCCACAAUGGACGCAAGUCUGAUGGAGCAACGCCGCGUGAGUGAAGAAGGGUUUCGGCUCGUAAAGCUCUGUUGUUAAGAAGAACGUGGGUAAGAGUAACUGUUUACCCAGUGACGGUAUUUAACCAGAAAGCCACGGCUAACUACGUGCCAGCAGCCGCGGUAAUACGUAGGUGGCAAGCGUUAUCCGGAUUUAUUGGGCGUAAAGCGAGCGCAGGCGGUCUUUUAAGUCUAAUGUGAAAGCCUUCGGCUCAACCGAAGAAGUGCAUUGGAAACUGGGAGACUUGAGUGCAGAAGAGGACAGUGGAACUCCAUGUGUAGCGGUGAAAUGCGUAGAUAUAUGGAAGAACACCAGUGGCGAAGGCGGCUGUCUGGUCUGCAACUGACGCUGAGGCUCGAAAGCAUGGGUAGCGAACAGGAUUAGAUACCCUGGUAGUCCAUGCCGUAAACGAUGAUUACUAAGUGUUGGAGGGUUUCCGCCCUUCAGUGCUGCAGCUAACGCAUUAAGUAAUCCGCCUGGGGAGUACGACCGCAAGGUUGAAACUCAAAAGAAUUGACGGGGGCCCGCACAAGCGGUGGAGCAUGUGGUUUAAUUCGAAGCUACGCGAAGAACCUUACCAGGUCUUGACAUCUUCUGACAGUCUAAGAGAUUAGAGGUUCCCUUCGGGGACAGAAUGACAGGUGGUGCAUGGUUGUCGUCAGCUCGUGUCGUGAGAUGUUGGGUUAAGUCCCGCAACGAGCGCAACCCUUAUUACUAGUUGCCAGCAUUAAGUUGGGCACUCUAGUGAGACUGCCGGUGACAAACCGGAGGAAGGUGGGGACGACGUCAAAUCAUCAUGCCCCUUAUGACCUGGGCUACACACGUGCUACAAUGGAUGGUACAACGAGUCGCGAGACCGCGAGGUUAAGCUAAUCUCUUAAAACCAUUCUCAGUUCGGACUGUAGGCUGCAACUCGCCUACACGAAGUCGGAAUCGCUAGUAAUCGCGGAUCAGCAUGCCGCGGUGAAUACGUUCCCGGGCCUUGUACACACCGCCCGUCACACCAUGAGAGUUUGUAACACCCAAAGCC
rnacentral:rRNA from 1 species